AUAGGUGAAGAACUCUGGAAUGAGUCUUUGCCUAAAUAGGUUCACGUUAUCCUCGUGAACUUGCCUAAGGAUGAGGCCGCGACCGAUCAGGUUGUUGGCGAGGUAAUGGCUCACCAAGCCUUUUACCGGUGCGGGCCGUGGGAGCGGGAGCCCGGAGAUGGGUACUGAGACAAGGACCCAGGCCCUACGGGGCGCAGCAGUCGCGAAACCUUUGCAAUACACNAAAGUGUGACAGGGCUAUCCCGAGUGCCAUCCGCUGAGGAAGGCUUUUACCCAGUCUAGAACGCUGGGGGAAUAAGGAGAGGGCAAGUCUGGUGUCAGCCGCCGCGGUAAUACCAGCUCUCCGAGUGGUGUGGAUGUUAUUGAGCCUAAAGCAUCCGUAGCUGGCUAGUAAGUCCUUGUUAAAUCCACCGAAUUAUCCUGGAUCCGGGGAUACUGCUUGGCUAGGGACACUUUCAGGCUAGAGACUGGGAGGAGUUGGGGGUAUUUCCAGGGGAGCGGUUAAAUGUGAUAAUCCUGGAAAGACCACCUGUGGCGAAGGCGCCCAACUAGAACAGUUCUGACGGUGAGGGAUGAAAGCUAGGGGAGCGAUCCGGAUUAGAUACCCGAGUAGUCCUAGCUGUAAACUCUGCGAGCUAGGUGUUGCAUAUUCUACGUGAAUAUGCAGUGUCGAAACGAAGGUGAUAAGCUCGCCGCCUGGGAAGUACGGUCGCAAGACUGAAACUUAA
rnacentral:rRNA from 1 species